GGGGAUGUAGCUCAGCUGGCUAGAGCGCUUGACUGGCAGUCAAGAGGUCGUGGGUUCGACUCCCAUCUUCUCCAC
rnacentral:tRNA from 2 species